rnacentral:rRNA from 1 species
CUAGUUGGUAAGGUAAAGGCUUCCCAAGGGGACGAUGGGUAGCCGCCCUAAGAGGGUGGCCCGCCCCACCUGGGACUGAGACCCGGCCCAGAUUCCUACGGGAGGCAGCAGUAGGGAAUUUUCCCCAAUGGGCGAAAGCCUGAGGGAGCAACGCCGCGUGAGGGAAGAAGGCUUUCGGGUUGUAAAGUUCAGUCACUCGGGAAGAGGACCUUACGAGUGGAAAGCCUUAGGGGAGACGGUACCGAGGGAGGAAGCCCCGGCAAACUACGUGCCAGCAGCCGCGGUAAUACGUAGGGGGCAAGCGUUGUCCGGAAUCACUGGGCGUAAAGCGUGCGUAGGCGGUUUUUUGGGUCUGGGGUGAAAGUUCAGGGCUCAACCUUGAGAAUGCCUUGGAAACUAGAAGACUUGAGUGCUGGAGAGGCAAGGGGAAUUCCACAUGUAGCGGUGAAAUGCGUAGAGAUGUGGAGGAAUACCAGUGGCGAAGGCGCCUUGCUGGACAGUGACUGACGCUGAGGCACGAAAGCGUGGGGAGCAAACAGGAUUAGAUACCCUGGUAGUCCACGCCGUAAACGAUGAGUGCUAGGUGUUGGGGGGUCAUACUCUCAGUGCCGAAGGAAACCCAAUAAGCACUCCGCCUGGGGAGUACGGUCGCAAGACUGAAACUCAAAGGAAUUGACGGGGGCCCGCACAAGCAGUGGAGCAUGUGGUUUAAUUCGAAGCAACGCGAAGAACCUUACCAGGGCUUGACAUCCCUCUGACCGGUACAGAGAUGGACCUUCCCUCCGGGGCAGAGGAGACAGGUGGUGCAUGGUUGUCGUCAGCUCGUGUCGUGAGAUGUUGGGUUAAGUCCCGCAACGAGCGCAACCCUUGAUCUGUGUUACCAGCACGUGAUGGUGGGGACUCACAGGUGACUGCCGGCGUAAGUCGGAGGAAGGUGGGGAUGACGUCAAAUCAUCAUGCCCUUUAUGUCCUGGGCGACACACGUGCUACAAUGGGCGGUACAACGGGAAGCGAGACCGCGAGGUGGAGCGAAACCUAAAAGCCGUUCGUAGUUCGGAUUGCAGGCUGCAACCCGCCUGCAUGAAGCCGGAAUUGCUAGUGAUCGCGGAUCAGCAUGCCGCGGUGAAUCCGUUCCCGGGCCUUGUACACACCGCCC